rnacentral:rRNA from 1 species
CGGCGGACGGGUGAGUAAUGCCUAGGAAUCUGCCUGGUAGUGGGGGACAACGUUUNGAAAGGAACGCUAAUACCGCAUACGUCCUACGGGAGAAAGCAGGGGACCUUCGGGCCUUGCGCUAUCAGAUGAGCCUAGGUCGGAUUAGCUAGUUGGUGAGGUAAUGGCUCACCAAGGCGACGAUCCGUAACUGGUCUGAGAGGAUGAUCAGUCACACUGGAACUGAGACACGGUCCAGACUCCUACGGGAGGCAGCAGUGGGGAAUAUUGGACAAUGGGCGAAAGCCUGAUCCAGCCAUGCCGCGUGUGUGAAGAAGGUCUUCGGAUUGUAAAGCACUUUAAGUUGGGAGGAAGGGCAUUAACCUAAUACGUUAGUGUUUUGACGUUACCGACAGAAUAAGCACCGGCUAACUCUGUGCCAGCAGCCGCGGUA